AACACAUGCAAGUCGAGCGGAAACGACACUAACAAUCCUUCGGGUGCGUUAAUGGGCGUCGAGCGGCGGACGGGUGAGUAAUGCCUAGGAAAUUGCCUUGAUGUGGGGGAUAACCAUUGGAAACGAUGGCUAAUACCGCAUAAUGCCUACGGGCCAAAGAGGGGGACCUUCGGGCCUCUCGCGUCAAGAUAUGCCUAGGUGGGAUUAGCUAGUUGGUGAGGUAAUGGCUCACCAAGGCGACGAUCCCUAGCUGGUCUGAGAGGAUGAUCAGCCACACUGGAACUGAGACACGGUCCAGACUCCUACGGGAGGCAGCAGUGGGGAAUAUUGCACAAUGGGCGAAAGCCUGAUGCAGCCAUGCCGCGUGUAUGAAGAAGGCCUUCGGGUUGUAAAGUACUUUCAGUUGUGAGGAAGGGGGUAGCGUUAAUAGCGCUAUCUCUUGACGUUAGCAACAGAAGAAGCACCGGCUAACUCCGUGCCAGCAGCCGCGGCAAUACGGAGGGUGCGAGCGUUAAUCGGAAUUACUGGGCGUAAAGCGCAUGCAGGUGGUUCAUUAAGUCAGAUGUGAAAGCCCGGGGCUCAACCUCGGAACUGCAUUUGAAACUGGUGAACUAGAGUACUGUAGAGGGGGGUAGAAUUUC
rnacentral:rRNA from 1 species